UCCCAGACUCCUACGGGAGGCAGCAGUGGGGAAUAUUGCACAAUGGGGGGAACCCUGAUGCAGCGACGCCGCGUGAGGGAAGAAGGUUUUUGGAUUGUAAACCUCUGUCCUUGGUAAAGAAGCAAGACGGUAGCCAAGGAGGAAGCCACGGCUAACUCCGUGCCAGCAGCCGCGGUAAUACGGAGGAUGCGAGCGUUAUCCGGAUUUAUUGGGUUUAAAGGGUGCGUAGGCGGACGCUUAAGUCAGCGGUAAAAUGGCGGGGCUCACCCUCCUCGAGCCGUUGAAGCUGGGUGCCUUGAGUGGGCGAGAAGUACGCGGAAUGCGUGGUGUAGCGGUGAAAUGCAUAGAUAUCACGCAGAACUCCGAUUGCGAAGGCAGCGUGCCGGCGCCCAACUGACGCUGAAGCACGAAGGCGUGGGUAUCGAACAGGAUUAGAUACCCCUGUAGA
rnacentral:rRNA from 1 species